rnacentral:misc_RNA from 1 species
GAUGAAGAACGUAGCGAAAUGCGAUAAGUAAUGUGAAUUGCAGAAUUCAGUGAAUCAUCGAUUCUUUGAACGCACAUUGCGCCCGCCAGUAUUCUGGCGGGCAUGCCUGUCUGAGCGUCAUUUCAACCCUCAUGCCCCUAGGGCGUGGUGUUGGGGAUCGGCCAAAGCCCGCGAGGGACGGCCGGCCCCUAAAUCUAGUGGCGAACCCGUCGUGGCCUCCUCUGCGAAGUAGUGAUAUUCCGCAUCGGAGAGCGACGAGCCCCUGCCGUUAAACCCCCAACUUUCCAAGGUUGACCUCAGAUCAGGUAGGAAUACCCGCUGAACUUAAGCAUAUCAAUAAGCGGAGGA